rnacentral:rRNA from 1 species
AUGAACGCUGGCGGCGUGCCUAACACAUGCAAGUCGAGCGAUCUUCUUCGGAAGAGAGCGGCGGACGGGUGAGUAACGCGUGGGUAACCUGCCCUGUACACACGGAUAACAUACCGAAAGGUAUGCUAAUACGAGAUAAUAUACUUUUAUCGCAUGGUAGAAGUAUCAAAGCUCUGGCGGUACAGGAUGGACCCGCGUCUGAUUAGCUAGUUGGUGAGGUAAUGGCUCACCAAGGCGACGAUCAGUAGCCGACCUGAGAGGGUGAUCGGCCACAUUGGAACUGAGACACGGUCCAAACUCCUACGGGAGGCAGCAGUGGGGAAUAUUGCACAAUGGGCGAAAGCCUGAUGCAGCAACGCCGCGUGAGCGAUGAAGGCCUUCGGGUCGUAAAGCUCUGUCCUCAAGGAAGAUAAUGACGGUACUUGAGGAGGAAGCCCCGGCUAACUACGU